rnacentral:rRNA from 1 species
CGAAAGCCUGACGGAGCAACGCCGCGUGAGGGAGGAAGGCCCUUGGGUUGUAAACCUCUUUUCUGGGGGAAGAAGUAAUGACGGUACCCCAGGAAUAAGCAUCGGCUAACUCCGUGCCAGCAGCCGCGGUAAUACGGAGGAUGCAAGCGUUAUCCGGAAUCAUUGGGCGUAAAGCGUCCGCAGGUGGCUAUUCAAGUCUGCUGUCAAAGCAUGGAGCUUAACUCCAUAGAGGCAGUGGAAACUGAAAGGCUAGAGGCCGGUAGGGGUAGUGGGAAUUCCCAGUGUAGCGGUGAAAUGCGUAGAGAUUGGGAAGAACAUCGGUGGCGAAAGCGCACUACUGGGCAGGACCUGACACUGAGGGACGAAAGCUAGGGGAGCAAAAGGGAUUAGAUACCCCUGUAGUCCUAGCCGUAAACGAUGGAGACUAGGCGUAGCUUGUAUCGACCCAAGCUGUGCCGAAGCUAACGCGUUAAGUCUCCCGCCUGGGGAGUACGCACGCAAGUGUGAAACUCAAAGGAAUUGACGGGGGCCCGCACAAGCGGUGGAGUAUGUGGUUUAAUUCGAUGCAACGCGAAGAACCUUACCAGGGCUUGACAUCUGGCGAAUUUGGGGGAAACCUCGGAGUGCCUUCGGGAGCGCCAAGACAGGUGGUGCAUGGCUGUCGUCAGCUCGUGUCGUGAGAUGUUGGGUUAAGUCCCGCAACGAGCGCAACCCUCGUUUUUAGUUGCCAUCAUUAAGUUGGGCACUCUAGAGAGACUGCCGGUGACAAACCGGAGGAAGGUGGGGAUGACGUCAAGUCAGCAUGCCCCUUACGUCCUGGGCUACACACGUACUACAAUGGUCGGGACAGAGGGCAGCAAACUCGCAAGAGCAAGCGAAUCUCAUCAAACUCGGCCUCAGUUCAGAUUGCAGGCUGCAACUCGCCUGCAUGAAGGAGGAAUCGCUAGUAAUCGCCGGUCAGCAUACGGCGGUGAAUUCGUUCCCGGGCCUUGUACACACCGCCCGUCACACCAUGGGAGCUGGCCACGCCCGAAGUCGUUACCCUAACCCGAAAGGGAGGGGGAUGCCGAAGGCAGGGCUAGUGACUAGGGUGAAGUCGUAACAAGGUAGCCGUACCGGAAGGUGUGGCUGGAUCACCUCCUUU